rnacentral:rRNA from 1 species
AGAGUUUGAUCCUGGCUCAGAACGAACGCUGGCGGCAGGCUUAACACAUGCAAGUCGAACGCCGUAGCAAUACGGAGUGGCAGACGGGUGAGUAACACGUGGGAACAUGCCCUUCGGUUCGGAAUAACUCAGGGAAACUUGAGCUAAUACCGGAUACGUCCAAGGCAACUUGGAGAAAGAUUUAUCGCCGAUGGAUUGGC